rfam:Serratia sp. M24T3 contig018, whole genome shotgun sequence.
GGUUGCUCAUUCAAUUAGUUAUAAAUGCCUCGGCGGUUUUACCGCAAUUUGCGCUCAUAACAUCAGAAUGACGCCGUAGAAAAGGUGCCUAUCGUUCACCAAACCGAUAUCGUUGCUACGGCAAUCUUAUCAAGCAUCGAACGACACGUUGAGUGAGGCACCACCUC